rnacentral:rRNA from 1 species
AAUAGCGGCCACAGCAGGUGUGUCACACCCGGUCUCUUUCCGAACCCGGAAGUUAAGACACCUCACGUAGGGGCCAGUACUGAGGUACGCGAGUCCUCGGGAGAACCUUUACGCUGCUAUUG